rnacentral:tRNA from 1 species
GGGUCGGUGGCCGAGUGGUCAAUGGCAGCAGACUGUAAAUCUGCCGNCGUANGNCUACGGUGGUUCAAAUCCAUCCCGGCCCA